UUUCUGGAUCUGUCAGAGCUCAUUUGGUGUUUGCCAUGGGAAUGACAACAAGUCACUGUGCUCUCCUGCUCGUGAGCGUCCACGUUAGUUUAUUUCCACUUUGAAUGACAGGAUAA